CCCUCCUGUCCCCUCUUGUCCCCUCCUGUCCCCUCCCGUCCCCGCCGGUGCCGGGGUGGCCGCGGGAGCGGGAACGGAGCCGGGACAGCCCCGGGCAGGCAGCGCCUGUUCUGAGCCUCAGAGCUGCGGGAGGGAAAAUGUUGUCCUGCUCGUGAAGUGCUGGAAGUCUGGCCUGGAAGAAAUUAAUCUUUAUCCUCGUGAAAUGGCGUUGGUGCCCUGCACAGCCCUGAAAUUCCAACUGCCAGCUGAGCUCCUCUCUGAUUUUAAUGUGAAAUUGCUCUUAUUUAGGAACAGAAUCCACUCUGCUGCUUGUUCCUGGUGGGAAUUCAGGUGAAAAGGAAAGAAGCAAAAAAAAAAUGAGAUUUUGGAGCUCUUUGCUUCCAUCUUUGGGCAAACACAACUUUUUGUUGUAGGAGCAAUGAAUUUUGAGUGACUACGGAAAUAUUUUGGGGAAUUCAUCCCUGAGGGCUCAGCUGGAGGCACAGCUCAUGGAAAAACCCAACAACAACUUUCAGAGAGCCCAUCCUGCUCCCCAGUGAGGGAAUUCCGUGGGCACAGGGACAGGGAUGGCCUGAGGAUCCCGCUCUGGCCAUGUUUAAAUUGAUAUUUCUUACACAAAACCACAGAGAAUGCCAAAGUCUGGUUUGGAAAUGUUGCAGAACUCAAAACUCCCAAUGACAUCAGGGUUUUCAACCACGACUGAAGAUGCUCAAGAAGAACACUCUUCAAGGUUAGUGGAGUGUUGAUAACAAACACACCAUCUUUUCUUUUUAUUUCUGCAAUAUUUUCACAGCCACGCUACAUCACAAAUAAAAAAUAGCACCCACAGGAUGUCAGAGUAACAUCCAAAUGUGUGCAGCCCAAAUUCGGCCUGAUAAAUCCUUUCAGAAGGUUUGAUUUCCAUUUUCCUCCUGGUUUCUGUAAAUCUUUGGUGAAUAUUGGUUCUACCCAGGCAUUUCCUGCCAGGCAUUCCAGGGUGGUGGGCGUUCUCAGGGAUUCCUGGAUCUGAGGAUUUCUGUAACUGUUCCUGGGUGGAAGCAUCCAUCAGAACCCAGCAGUGACCAUUCCUUUGGAGCCAGUGAGCGAAGAGAAGCCUGUGAGUAUUUUUCUGAGGUUUUUAAGAGUGAGAAGUUAAGAUCCCUUGUCUUUAUAAGGCUGCCACCAAAUUAACAUAACCCAGAAAUCGUCAGCUCCAUUAUGAGCAGCUUUUCCUGCUCCCUCAGCAGCUCUGCCCUCACCAACCCCACGAUUUAGGGAAUAUUGUUUCCUGCUUCCAUGGCACACAAGUCUAAUUAAACCAUUUCUGCACCUUCCCUGGCCAUAACUCUUCAUUCCAGUAAUUAGAAGACACCCCAGUACAGAACUAGCUGCUUCAUCAGCUUUUAGGCUACGAGACUUAAAACUAACAUUUUCAAAAGCAUUUCAUGGUUUGAAAGAAUGGUCAAUUAACCUUCAGUUUCCUGGGGGGAACCCUGCAAAGAACUGUCAACAGUUCAGUUUAGAGAGAUUUGUCCAGUGACCUACAAGGCCACGAAGUUCACGAAUGCAUGGAAUGGUGUCAUCAUGGAUUUGUUCCCUGGGUUACUGUCACAAGAGAAAAACUGAUUUUUCUGCUACAGUAACAAGUGACCAAGGGGCAACAGGGACGACCCCGGUGCUUCCUUGGGCUCCUGGGCAAAACCAGGGCCACUCAAAAGGAAAAAAAAAACAACCCUGGUAUCUUCAGGAUGAAUUAUGUGUCUCUUUCUCUUCCUCCCAUAAGGUUCUUUUUUAAUCAGGGGCUGGGAGAUUCCUCUGCUGCCUGCUGGGUUUCUUUGUAUUUGGAAUUUUCUGCAAACAGCAGCAUAAGAUGAACGUCUGACGAUUGUGCUGGUGACAGUCUUCAGAUUUAAGUGAUAGCAACAUCUCGGUCUUUAUAGCAAAUUAAGGGUUUUCUGUGGAGCGCUGGGGAUUGAUCUGGGGAUGCACCUGCUGGAGGAACCCGUUCUGAGCCUGCCUCACCAUGAAUUGAUUUUAUUGUGAGAUUCCAAAGGAAACCAGAGUCUGCUCCUGGCCAUUGGAGGUAAAACAAUCUCUGGCUUCAUGAGGGAGGAAGAAUUAGCCAUAAAUAAAAUUGUCUUCUACGUAGGGUUUGAUACAAAAUUCGAAUCUUUGGCUUUGCUUUUACUUCAGUGCUCUGUAAAAACAGGGGUUUACUCCCAUUUCAGAAGCUGCACGGAAAAAUUGAUUUUGUUUUCUUCUACUCAUCAUCAAAACAUUUUCCUUGGCCAACCUUACACAUCCCUACAUUAAAUCUGAUUUUUCUGGCUUUUCUCAUUUUGCCACACCCAAGGUCAGGGUCAUUGCUCCAUGACUGGAACUGUCUCCAUUAUAGUUUAAAACAUUUCAGUUGAUUCUGUGUAGUGCUCCAAACUUAAGAUUUUAAGAUAUGAAGUAAUCAGAAGGGUUUUCUUAAGGAAAAAUCCUUGUACUUAGAGA